ensembl:lncRNA
GUUAGGGUUAGGAUAGAGUGGGGUUAGGGAUAGGUUAGGGUUAGGAUAGAGUGGGGUUAGGGAUAAGUUAGGGUUAGGGAUAGGUUGGGUUAGGGAUAGGUCAGGUUAGAGAUAGGUUGGGUUAGGGACAGGUAUAGGUUGGGGUUAGGGACAGGUUAGGGAUAGGGAUAGGUUGGGGUUAGGUUGGGGUUAGGGACAGGAUAAGGAUAGGUUGGGGUUAGGAUAGAGUGGGGUUAGGGAUAUGUUAGGGUUAGGCUAGAGUGGGGUUAGGUUAGGGAUAGCUUAGGGAUAGGGUUGGGGACAGGUUGGGGUUAGGGAUAGGUUGGGGUUAGGCUAGAGUAGGGAUAGGGUUAGGGACAGGUUAGGGAUAUGGAUAGGUUAGGGAUAGGUUAGGGAUAGGUUGGGUUAGGCUAGAGUGGGGUUAGGGAUAGGUUGGGUUAGGCUAGAGUGGGGUUAGGGAUAGGUUAGGGUUAGGCUAGAGUGGGGUUAGGGAUCGGUUAGGGUUAGGCUAGAGUGGGGUUAGGGAUUAGGUUAGGGACAGGUUAGGGAUAGGUUAGGGAUAGGGACAGGUUAGGGAUAGGAUAGGUUGGGGUUAGGGAUGGGUUAGGGAUCGGUUGGGGUUAGGCUAGAACUAGCCUCGGCUGAACUUAGGGUUAGGUUAGGCUGAACUAGACUUAGCAUGCUGGGAGACAGAGGGAUGGAAAGAGCCCUCAUCAAACCUUCAUCAAGACCCGUCAUCAAGACCCGCAUCAAGCCCCCUCAUCAAGCCCC